rnacentral:rRNA from 1 species
GACGAACGCUGGCGGCGUGCUUAACACAUGCAAGUCGAACGGAAAGGCCCUGCUUUUGUGGGGUGCUCGAGUGGCGAACGGGUGAGUAACACGUGAGUAACCUGCCCUUGACUUUGGGAUAACUUCAGGAAACUGGGGCUAAUACCGGAUAGGAGCUCCUGCUGCAUGGUGGGGGUUGGAAAGUUUCGGCGGUUGGGGAUGGACUCGCGGCUUAUCAGCUUGUUGGUGGGGUAGUGGCUUACCAAGGCUUUGACGGGUAGCCGGCCUGAGAGGGUGACCGGCCACAUUGGGACUGAGAUCCGGCCCAGACUCCUACGGGAGGCAGCAGUGGGGAAUAUUGCACAAUGGGCGGAAGCCCGAUGCAGCAACGCCGCGUGCGGGAUGACGGCCUUCGGGUUGUAAACCGCUUUCGCCUGUGACGAAGCGUGAGUGACGGUAAUGGGUAAAGAAGCACCGGCUAACUACGUG